rnacentral:snoRNA from 1 species
AGGCAGCCUCUUGCCAUUGCAGUGGCAUUGGAGGUGUUGCGUUGCUCGGAUAGUAAAACUUUUGCUAUUCAGAUUGGCCGAGAGGGUGGCUCCUGCUCCCCUCCUUGAAGCUGGUAUAGUAGUCUUAAGGACAUU